CUUGAAUUAUCACUUUAAAGAGUUUUCUCUCUAAACGUGGAUUUGGGCGUUGCAAUAUGCUCGCCUUAAAUGUCUCAGUGGUUCAAACCGUAGCCUGAUGUAAUAAGUUUCAUUAGGUCAAGGGGCGACUGCUUCUAAUUGCCUUCGGGCUCUAUUUAAGACUAGACCUCAAAUCAGGUAGGACUACCCGCUGAACUUAA
rnacentral:misc_RNA from 1 species